rnacentral:rRNA from 1 species
UACGUAGGGGGCUAGCGUUGUCCGGAUUUAUUGGGCGUAAAGCGCGUGUAGGCGGGUCUUUAAGUCAGGGGUGAAAUGCCAAGGCUCAACCUUGGAACUGCCUUUGAUACUGGAGACCUUGAGUCCGGGAGAGGUGAGUGGAAUUGCGAGUGUAGAGGUGAAAUUCGUAGAUAUUCGCAAGAACACCAGUGGCGAAGGCGGCUCACUGGCCCGGAACUGACGCUGAGACGCGAAAGCGUGGGGAGCAAACAGG